AAGGAAUGAAAGGGAGAGAUGAGACUUAAAAACCCUAAUUACUCACACUAGAGAACAAACGCUUGAGCAUUAAUCCUCCAGCAAAUGAGUCAUGGCUUGAUAUAAACAAUGGCCAUAAAUAUCAAUAACGGACAAAAGAUGUUAAUUCUAAUGUCACAAAUAUGAGACUGUCCACCCCAAGGGACCUGAAAAAGAAAUUGUCAACAGCAACCUUUACUU
rnacentral:misc_RNA from 1 species